UUUAUUUAACUCCCUAAUCCCCCUAAGCCUAUUUUCAUUCCCAAUACCUUCAAAACACAGCAACACAAGUGAACCCAAAAGCUCUUCAAUGGCAAAACGACGCCCCAACAUUCAUGUCGAGCCCCAGCUGGCAAAAAUCCAUUUUCAGAUAAAAUUCAAACAUCUUUUAUCAUCUCCAGCAUAUGUUCGGCCAUUUAUGGCAAGCAUUUAUGGAGUUUGGCCAUUAGCUUAAGCAUAGACAACUUUCAAACGGUGACUUUGACUUUGUUCCAAUUUCUUUUGAUUUUCCCUUUUCUUUCUAGUACAAAUUCACAACCUUAUCAAUUUUAAGCAAAUUUCAAAUUGGGAUUCAGUCCCACAACAAAUUUUAUAGCUAAACCCUAGCAUUUGGGGGUUCAAUAAAUAGGACCCCAUUUUUUUAUCCUCACCAAGUUGAACAUACCCAAAAAAUCUGAUUUAUCAGUUAACUCGACUCCAAACAAGAGGAAAAGUUUCUUGCAAGUUGAGUUUUUCUUGAAUCAUCGGAUUAAGUUUAAAUCUUGUUCAAUUCGAGUUGGUUUGUGGUGUCAGUGAAAGUUGAAAGGUGAUUGUCGACUCUCGUCGCCCCCGUCGCUGCUCGGCAAAAAGGUUUCAUGGUAUAACUAUGUAACAUUCAGAGACAUGCUUAGACAUGAAGAACAAGACACUUAACUUUAGACAAUCAGUAUGAGGUUUCAGAGGCACAGACUGAAUGCGUACCUUUGAAUAUCUAAACUCGAAUGAAGGCAACAUACAAGACUCAUAAUAUUCAGACAGCAAAUGUAAUCAGACAAAGGGGUGCAACACAAUCAUUUGGAGGAGAAGUGAGCAGUUUGGCGGACUUUUGGAACCUUUGGCAUCUGAGUGGCGACAUGAGUAGUAGAAACAGUAGAGAAGAUGUGACGAACUGAGAAGUCCGCUAUCCUUCUGCAUCGCAGAGCAAAGGCGCACAAAUUCUAUCUCUGACUAAGGGCACAAUCAGGCUUUUCAUCCGCAUCGCGUGAAGAAAGCGAACAAAACAAGCGUCUGACCAAGUUUCAUGUUCAGGCGAUCCUUCCGCAUCGCUGAAGAAAAGCUCAAGUUCUGUUCAGCCUAUCCUUUCGCAUCGCCAAAGGAAAGCGAGUCUCUUCGCAGUUUUUCCCGUUUCAAUCGGGAUUAGGUCUACUUAUUUUUUGUUUUAACCCUAGACUAUAAAUUGAUGUUUUAUUAGUUGUAAACGACGUGAUGGGAUUAUUCUAAGACCUUUAAGCCAUCACUUUACUUUCUCUCUUUAGAAUUUUCUUAUUUUCUUCUUUUUAACCCUAGAUUAUUCAUGAAUUCUUGUUCUUCAUCUAGAAUCAUGAGUAGCUAAACUUCUUAAAUUUGGGGUUGUGACGAAAGACAUGAUAGUUGGUUUGGCGAAAAUUUCUAUCAAUUAAAUUUUCUUAUUUUGGGUUGCUUA